rnacentral:rRNA from 1 species
AGAACGAACGCUGGCGGCAUGCCUAACACAUGCAAGUCGAACGUGAUCCAGGCUUCGGCCUGGUGAAAGUGGCAGACGGGUGAGUAACGCGUGGGAACCUGCCCUGUGGUAGGGAAUAACCGUGGGAAACUGCGGCUAAUACCCUAUGAGUCCUUCGGGAGAAAGAUUUAUCGCCAUAGGAGGGGCCCGCGUCGGAUUAGGUAGUUGGUGGGGUAACGGCCUACCAAGCCUUCGAUCCGUAGCUGGUCUGAGAGGAUGAUCAGCCACACUGGGACUGAGAUACGGCCCAGACUCCUACGGGAGGCAGCAGUGGGGAAUAUUGGACAAUGGGCGCAAGCCUGAUCCAGCAAUGCCGCGUGAGUGAUGAAGGCCUUCGGGUUGUAAAGCUCUUUUGGCGGGGACGAUGAUGACGGUACCCGCAGAAUAAGCCCCGGCUAACUUCGUGCCAGCAGCCGC